ensembl:lncRNA
GGGCGGGGCUCGCGCGGGAGGGCGGCGCGACCGCGUGACCUCGGCCGCCGUGCGGGGGGGGGGGCUAGGUACGGCGGGAUGGUCUCCGUGUGAAGAGUCGACCCCGUUCCAGAGACGUUGUGGAUAGCAGCCCCCUCAUUCAGGCGCUGUGAGUUCUUAAGCCCGGGUCCCGAAGGCGUCCGCCCCCCGUGCUAACUCCAGCCCAGAGACGGUUGGGAAUGCGCCGCAUUGUCUCCUCAUCAACCGCACCUCCACUGGCAGAGCGGCGCCAGAUUAGUUUCUGGGUGACAGUUCUGGAGCGGAUCCCGUUCGUUAAGACGGAUGCGCUUCCCUUCGGUUUCAUCCGGGCUGCCUGAGCUCAAACAGCGCCUCCCGGGUGCUCCUCUGUCGGCGUGGCGACGGCAGGGCUGCGUCUGGGGAGGGGCCAAGCCUUUGUGGGCUUCGCCAUGGAACCGAGAGGCGUCGCAUCACAGGACGGCUCCUUUGGUCUGUUGCUAUGUGUCCCUUUUGGUUGGAGGGGGGUUCAUAAAAUGAAAAAAAAAUGAAAAAGAGAAUGCUCGACAAAAGCGGAUCAGUGUGACGAUACUAACUCGGCCAAUCUUUCCUCCACUCCCAAGAAAUGUGAAUGUAGGGUUUCUUUCAUCGCGUUUGGAGCUAAAAUUGCCGCCAAAAACUCUUUAUUAUAACGCCCUGCUGUUGAGAAACCAGAGAUUUCCUUUCCUCGUUUAGAAAAGGGACGAAAAGAAGAAAAUCUGACCAUAACAUUUGAUUUCUGUGCCUUUUGUUAAACAUGGUAUCAUUAGUAAAAUGGGGCAGUUUUUUUCACGCAAUUGGACCAGUGUUGCCGUGACGCCCAAUUAGGCCCAUAAAAGCAGAUAAAUGCGCCGCAUUACUCGGCUGAAACGCAGACGAUCCAAGCGGUGUGGAGACAGAACCAUAUGUUGGUCGCUGAGGCGUCCGCCACACAGCGCCCCCAGAGCCCGACUGCAGCGGGAACAAGGAACGUGUUUACACCCCCUAUCUCUGAGUUUUAAAGCUACCUGGGAAACAAAUGUGCUCAAUGUUUCAGUUUGGACUCCAUGAUGUUGCCACAGCUGCUUCUGACUUUUACUAACCUUCGGUUGUUGUUUUAGAUGCAGCCAAUAUUAGCCCUCAAAUCAUGGACGUGGUUACACCAUUACAGAUUAAUGUUUUUACCCGAUUUUUCUGAAACUGCAAAAAAUAAUACUUUUUUAAUUAUUGUGUGUGCAUUUAAUCUUCUGUGUGUGUGUGUGUGUGUGGCGGAUGCUGACACUCACAUUGCUUGCGAGUUGUAUAAUUUGUAACCCGCGGGUGUGUCUGUGCUCAUUCCCGGUACUAAGUGUGUACAGAAUACUUUAUUUAACUGUAUUAUUUAACAAUAGUCAAAAUAAAAGCCACAGGGUUUCAAAAGCGCAGGAAGUGGAAGUGUGACCCUGGAUUACUUCACAUUAAUAGCGCCCAAUAUGUACUUUACCACAACCUUCUUAAUGUUGUGCAACGUGUUUUCAUACGGUAGCGAAGGGGAGCGGGGAUGGGCCAACGGUAGAUGCAAUCCUAGACUAGACUUUUUUAAAUGAGGCAGAUUGAACUAAAGGGAAGGACACGAUGACGCAGCAUCUCCUCCAAGGAUCCUCCCAGUACUUCUGCUGUGGGACAAAAUAAUAUUGGUAUUUCGUCUGUAAGAUAUAAUAAUAAUAAUAAUAAUACAUUUAAUUUAGAGGCGCCUUUCAAGACACCCAAGGUCACCUUACAGAGCAUAUAGUCAUCAUUCAAAACUAUGUAAAACAGACUAGGAAUAAAAGGAAAACAGAGGUUAAACAUGAAGAAUAAUAAUAAUUAAUAACACUCAAAGACGCCUAAAGUGAAGGGGGGACCUCACUAACCACCACCAAUAUGUAGCACCCACUUGGGUGAUGCACGGCAGCCAAUCGGUGCCAGAACGCUCACUAUAUGAUAUGAACAAGUAUUUGAAGAACACGGUGAUGGAUUCUUGCACAAAUAGGUUCAUUAUCACGUCCCGUCCAACAAAGAUGAGGUGGUGAUAAACACAAUAAGAAGAGAGAGAACAGCCUAUAUAAUAGACCUAUUUAGACGCAGCCAGAUAAAAGGCAUUAUUAGACUUUCGGUCGCCAGCUCCGUCUGUGAUGUUUUGUUGCAUGAUUUUUUAGUCGUUGUUGAGCUGUAAAUAAAUCAAGGCAUCGAAUAUCAAAGGGGGCGCCAUCCCUCCCUCUAUCUUCUAAUGUAAGACGGUACGGCCUCACAGGGGUGUUGUGAGCUCAAAAGGGCAGUCUGCGACAUCAACAAUGUUUUCGCAGAAAAGUUGGACCGUUGCGCCAUCGGUCCUGAAUGUUGCUUUUUCCUUUGGACCGACCAGCAAAAAAAGUGAUGUAAAUAUUGGAAACAGCAAAGCGAGUGGCUUCCCCCCAGCCUGAGGGGGGAUGGAUCAAUAGUCACACUACCCUAUCCGGUCCUUUCAUUUGGCCAAGCAGACGUAGAGUGCCAACUCGCCGAGGAGGCGAACGUGGCUCUGUGGGGUAUUGUGGAGUGCGUUUGAUUGGUGUCGAGUGGCUCCCAGUAUUGCACUUAAUGUGGAUCUGUCUGUUCGUCUCUGUCCAGUAAUGUCUAGCCUGUACAGCUCUCUAUAGCUAACAACUCGUUAUGAAUGGUGAAUUAAAACAUACUUGAAUGAA